rnacentral:rRNA from 1 species
UACAGAGGAGCCAAGCGUUGUCCGGAUUGACUGGGCGUAAAGCGCACGCAGGCGGCCGCGCGCGUGGGGUGUGAAAUCUGGCCGCUUAACGGCCAGGCGCCAUCCCAUACGGCGCGGCUGGAGCCAUGCAGAGGGCGGUGGAAUUGCCGGUGUAGUGGUGAAAUGCGUAGAGAGUCGGCAGGAACAGCCCAGGGGGAAACCAGC